GACGAACGCUGGCGGCGUGCUUAACACAUGCAAGUCGAACGGAAAGGCCCUGCUUUUGUGGGGUGCUCGAGUGGCGAACGGGUGAGUAACACGUGAGUAACCUGCCCUUGACUUUGGGAUAACUUCAGGAAAAUGGGGCUAAUACCGGAUAGGAGCUCCUGCUGCAUGGGGGGGGGUGGAAAGUUUCGGCGGUUGGGGAUGGACUCGCGGCUUAUCCGCUUGUUGGUGGGGUAGUGGCUUACCAAGGCUUUGACGGGUAGCCGGCCUGAGAGGGUGACCGGCCACAUUGGGACUGAGAUACGGCCCAGACUCCUACGGGAGGCAGCAGUGGGGAAUAUUGCACAAUGGGCGGAAGCCUGAUGCAGCAACGCCGCGUGCGGGAUGACGGCCUUCGGGUUGUAAACCGCUUUCGCCUGUGACGAAGCGUGAGUGACGGUAAUGGGUAAAGAAGCACCGGCUAACUACGUG
rnacentral:rRNA from 1 species